rnacentral:rRNA from 1 species
GUUGUAUGGUUAAGUGACUAAGCGUACACGGUGGAUGCCUUGGCAGUCAGAGGCGAUGAAAGACGUAGUAACUUGCGAUAAGCCCAGAUUAGGUAGUAACAACCAUUUGAGUCUGGGAUUUCUGAAUGGGGAAACCCACGUGCAUAAGCACGUAUCCUUACCUGAAUACAUAGGGUAAGGAGGCGAACCGGGGGAACUGAAACAUCUAAGUACCCCGAGGAAAAGAAAUCAACCGAGAUUCCGAAAGUAGCGGCGAGCGAAAUUGGACUAGCCCUUAAGCUUUACACGCGUUAGACGAACGGUCUGGAAAGUCCGACGAUACAGGGUGAUAGUCCCGUAGUUGACGACGUGUGUUCAGUGAAAUCGAGUAGGGCGGGACACGUGAUAUCCUGUCUGAAUAUGGGGGGACCAUCCUCCAAGGCUAAAUACUACUGACUGACCGAUAGUGAACCAGUACCGUGAGGGAAAGGCGAAAAGAACCCCUGUGAGGGGAGUGAAAUAGAACCUGAAACCGUGUACGUACAAGCAGUAGGAGCAGGCUUUGUCCUGUGACUGCGUACCUUUUGUAUAAUGGGUCAGCGACUUAUAUUCAGUGGCAAGGUUAACCAUCUAGGGGAGCCGUAGGGAAACCGAGUCUUAACUGGGCGUUCAGUCUCUGGAUAUAGACCCGAAACCAGGUGAUCUAGCCAUGGGCAGGUUGAAGGUUGAGUAACAUCAACUGGAGGACCGAACCGACUAAUGUUGAAAAAUUAGCGGAUGACUUGUGGCUAGGGGUGAAAGGCCAAUCAAACCUGGAGAUAGCUGGUUCUCCCCGAAAGCUAUUUAGGUAGCGCCUCGGACGAAUACUACUGGGGGUAGAGCACUGUUAAGGCUAGGGGGUCAUCCCGACUUACCAACCCUUUGCAAACUCCGAAUACCAGUAAGUACUAUCCGGGAGACACACGGCGGGUGCUAACGUCCGUCGUGGAGAGGGAAACAACCCAGACCGCCAGCUAAGGUCCCAAAUUACUACUAAGUGGGAAACGAUGUGGGAAGGCUCAGACAGCCAGGAUGUUGGCUUAGAAGCAGCCAUCAUUUAAAGAAAGCGUAAUAGCUCACUGGUCGAGUCGGCCUGCGCGGAAGAUGUAACGGGGCUAAGUAGUAAACCGAAGCUGCGGCAAUGUGCUUUUGCACAUUGGGUAGGGGAGCGUUCUGUAAGCGGUUGAAGGUGUGUGGUAACGCAUGCUGGACGUAUCAGAAGUGCGAAUGCUGACAUGAGUAACGAUAAAGGGGGUGAAAAACCUCCUCGCCGGAAGACCAAGGGUUCCUGUCCAACGUUAAUCGGGGCAGGGUAAGUCGACCCCUAAGGCGAGGCCGAAAGGCGUAGUCGAUGGGAAACGGGUUAAUAUUCCCGUACUUCUUACAAUUGCGAUGGGGGGACGGAGAAGGCUAGGUGGGCCUGGCGACGGUUGUCCAGGUUCAAGUGCGUAGGCUUAAGAGUUAGGUAAAUCCGGCUCUUUUUAAGGCUGAGACACGACGUCGAGCACCUACGGGUGUGAAGUCAUUGAUGCCAUGCUUCCAGGAAAAGCCUCUAAGCUUCAGAUUGUAAGGAAUCGUACCCCAAACCGACACAGGUGGUCGGGUAGAGAAUACCAAGGCGCUUGAGAGAACUCGGGUGAAGGAACUAGGCAAAAUGGUACCGUAACUUCGGGAGAAGGUACGCUCUCGACGGUGAAGUCCCUUGCGGAUGGAGCUAUUGAGAGUCGCAGAUACCAGGUGGCUGCAACUGUUUAUUAAAAACACAGCACUGUGCAAAAUCGUAAGAUGACGUAUACGGUGUGACGCCUGCCCGGUGCCGGAAGGUUAAUUGAUGGGGUUAGACUUCGGUCGAAGCUCUUGAUCGAAGCCCCGGUAAACGGCGGCCGUAACUAUAACGGUCCUAAGGUAGCGAAAUUCCUUGUCGGGUAAGUUCCGACCUGCACGAAUGGCGUAAUGAUGGCCACGCUGUCUCCACCCGAGACUCAGUGAAAUUGAAAUCGCUGUGAAGAUGCAGUGUACCCGCGGCUAGACGGAAAGACCCCGUGAACCUUUACUACAGCUUGGCACUGAACAUUGACCCUACAUGUGUAGGAUAGGUGGGAGGCUUUGAAGCACGUACGCCAGUAUGUGUGGAGCCGUCCUUGAAAUACCACCCUUGUAGUGUUGAUGUUCUAACGUCGACCCCUUAUCGGGGUUGCGGACAGUGCCUGGUGGGUAGUUUGACUGGGGCGGUCUCCUCCCAAAGAGUAACGGAGGAGCACGAAGGUGGGCUAAUCACGGUUGGACAUCGUGAGGUUAGUGCAAUGGCAUAAGCCCGCUUGACUGCGAGAAUGACAAUUCGAGCAGGUGCGAAAGCAGGUCAUAGUGAUCCGGUGGUUCUGAAUGGAAGGGCCAUCGCUCAACGGAUAAAAGGUACUCCGGGGAUAACAGGCUGAUACCGCCCAAGAGUUCAUAUCGACGGCGGUGUUUGGCACCUCGAUGUCGGCUCAUCACAUCCUGGGGCUGAAGUCGGUCCCAAGGGUAUGGCUGUUCGCCAUUUAAAGUGGUACGCGAGCUGGGUUUAGAACGUCGUGAGACAGUUCGGUCCCUAUCUGCCGUGGGCGUUGGAAGAUUGAAGGGGGCUGCUCCUAGUACGAGAGGACCGGAGUGGACGAACCUCUGGUGUUCGGGUUGUGUCGCCAGACGCAUUGCCCGGUAGCUAAGUUCGGAAUCGAUAACCGCUGAAAGCAUCUAAGCGGGAAGCGAGCCCUGAGAUGAGUCUUCCCUGAUACUUUAAGUAUCCUAAAGGGUUGUCGGAGACUACGACGUUGAUAGGUCAGGUGUGUAAGUGCUGUGAGGCAUUGAGCUAACUGAUACUAAUUGCCCGUGAGGCUUAACCAUACAACACCCAAGGGGUUU